UACGAAGGGGGCUAGCGUUGCUCGGAAUGACUGGGCGUAAAGGGCGCGUAGGCGGUUUGUACAGUCAGGUGUGAAAUUCCCGGGCUCAACCUGGGGGCUGCACUUGAUACGUAUGGACUGGAGUGGGGAAGAGGGUCGUGGAAUUCCCAGUGUAGAGGUGAAAUUCGUAGAUAUUGGGAAGAACACCAGUGGCGAAGGCGAGUCCCUGGACAACUCCUGACACUGAGGCACGAAAGCUAGGGGAGCAAACAGG
rnacentral:rRNA from 1 species